ACACAGAUCGGGAGGCAGCUUGUGCAAGUGUACCCUCGGAAAAAGCACAUUGAUCCAGUUGUUACCAAAAGAGAUUGGCUGCCCUCGGAGUUGCCGCUACUACCUUGCGGAGUCGAUGGGAGCCAUGCUUGUCGCCGUCCUACACAAGGUGUCCAGCGAGAAAUUCAACGCCUUUACUCUUCAAAGUGGACCUCAACCGUCAUGAGCUAACUCGAGUGCUCAGCCUAGGUGACCGGGCGCUGUUCCUUAGUGAUGACCGGUGCCUAUCUGUCUCAGCCAUGAAUCAACCUUCCAUCAGCAGCAACUGCAUCUACUUUGCCAUGCCGAAGACUGUAAACACUGUGUUGGUGCAUUCACUCAGUGAUGGCUCGUUUGAAAGUUUGUCAAUGCUGCACCUGGACGACAAGCCGACAGUGGUAGCAUGGACGUCUGUGCAGCCCUACACACUUGCUGAUCACCUGCUCAUCUACUGCCACCAUCGUAAGUGGGCAAGAGGGAUAAUGUUCCAUGAAUUUUACUUCAUAAUCAGUUGUUGGGACAAGCUAAGAAAGAAGAUCAUCGAACAGGAUUCAGAAGUUGUUCCGAGAUUGAGAGGAACACCUGACCAGCUGAAGAAGCUAGAGGUCCCUAACUUUUUAACCAUCAUGACUUCGUUGGCAAGGAUUGGAGGCAAAAGACCAAGGCUUACUGAAUAGUGAAUGAUAUUGAGAUGGUUCGAGUGUUGCUAUAGGUAGCAUGCUCUUGUGAGACAACAGGGUUCAGGGCAUGUGCCCUGCUCUAUUUAUCUAAUAUAUGUAUUGUACUACUGCAAUAUUUUCAUUAUUCAUUAUGCAUGUCGUCAUAAGACAAUUCUAUGUCAGUUUCAUUAUGUAUUCUAUAUAUGCCAUUUUGCGGUCAAAUAUACCAGAGCCUUUAUGCUAUUUCAUGUCAUUUAUGACUUUUUAUCUUCUCAGGCUUCGGACUGCUUUCAACCUAUUUCUUCCCUGCUUUCAUAUGCCUUGCAUUUGUGAUAAUAUUUGUUGCCUUGGGAUUUGAGGUCUUUUGUUGUUUCUCUUCCUUUAUUUUCUUUUUGUAGAUUUAAUUUGAUGAACUUUGUUUCACUGGUACCUGUACAUCAAUGUCUUGGUAGUUUGAUUUCUCAAAUAUGUACUCUACAUCAAACUAUAUCUGUAUAUGAUUUAUUUGAGGCACUGGCUUACGUAAAGGUAUUGGCAAUGUGGUAUAAUCAACAGUAUGGUGUACUUGGGGGCCUAACAGUAUGGUGUACUUGGGGCCUACUAGAUAAAUGUGUUACGGUGAUUGAAAGUAUACCAUUUAUUUAUAAAAUAAGGAAUUUACAGUGUUGUUUCGUCGAAGGAAACCUCUAGGUGCAUUUCGCAUAUGUUGGUGAUCUGAGUUCUAAAAUUAUGCUGCAUUCAUUCUGUGCUGACAGCUUGAAUAAAUAACCUGGCCGGUACCUAAGCAACAUUGUGAGUUAACUAUGUUUCUGAAGUAUAAUGUCGAAGCUGAGUGUUUGUCUUUGUCCAAACAAUUUCAAGGUCCUCUAAUGCAUAUAGACAAUUAAGGAAAUCAUGAUUGUUUAAUUUUCUUUUGUUCUACUAACCCAUCCAAAAUGACAUCAAGAUAAGAGAUACUAUUAGUAAAUCCUUUUGCAAUCAUUGUAUAAUCAUUUCUUUAUAUAUAGGUCGUGUUGUUUAAACCAUGCAAGGAUUCUGCAUUACUGGAUUUUCUUUCACGUGAUCAAUUUGGCUAGAAUAACAUAGUAUUUAUUCUGUCUAUGAGUACAAGGUAGAUCUAAGAUAGCCUCACUAGUUUUGCUUUUUUGUUCUUUUCUUUGUUGAUACUUAUUGUCCUUUUCUUUGUUGCCUUGCUGAUUCCAUGCAGCGAAACAGCCACAAUGUUUACAUAGUUUUAUUUUUUGUCCUAUGCUUACAGUCCGCAACAAUCAAACUGUUUAAUGGUUAAUAUAUAUAACUGCAAUUUUUGUAUGGUACAACUGUAAUUAAUUUUCUUUUUGAGUUUCAUACAAACUCUAAGGCCAAAACACUUUUGAUGGCUUUGUUCAUAGUGAUUAACUUAUGGUUGGACAAUAGGUGAAAUUUAUUUGUUUUGGCUUGUAUCUUCUACUCUUAUUGAAAUGAAGUUAUUGAAACUGUUAUUGUUCUUAGAUGUACUAUCGGAGGUUGGUGCCUUUUGAAAUGAAGUUUUGUUUUACCUGCAGUGUUGUCUUGGCUCCCUCGAGAUUCAACAUGGUGAAGGGGAUGAACUUGUAACUUGUAGAUGCUUGAGACAUCAGAGCCUUCCUAACGUAUGGAUGAAUGUUUAUAUGGCUCUAGAUGAUGAUCUGGUUGUUUAUUGUGCAGCAAUAUGCAGGUCUAUGCUGAACAUGAUCAGAGCCUUUUUGGACGCAUCUAUUGAUAUGUGCCAGGACCCUGCUAUCUUUACUCGUGACCGGAACAUUGAUCUGGUGCUUGAAGACAUUGAUGCUGCUCCUCUGGUGGGCCCAACAUAUCAUCACCCUCCUCUGUCCUCUCCCUCCAUCGACGGUGGCGCUCGGCCGGUGGUGGCGCAGCUGGCUCCACGCGAACGCCCGCCCGUGCGCUCGGCCGCUCCCGUGCCUACCUGCGCCGCCGGCUCUCGUCCUGGAUCCGUUACGGCCUCCGGUAAGCGCCUCGCGCGGGAGCCCCUGGAGCUUUGCCAAGCUCUUGGCACCUCCCGAGCUUGAACUGCCGCCUCCUCUGCAGCACAGACCUGUACAGGAACGCCGUCGGAGACAGCCCAAUCUUCAUCCCCAAAAUUGGAUCGGUGUCCGCCGGCCGAUCUGUGCAAUCUAUUCUCAGAUUGCCUCCGCCGUGCCUGCAGAGUUCCUGGUGAUUUGAUGAAUCACGCCCUCAUUGGAUUAGUAUAGCCUUCAUUGGUGGAGAUAUUUUGCAGGAGAAUGUUAUUUCCCUUCUUGUUGGUUUAUGGUGUGUUGAUCGAUUUACACUUUCAGUCAUUUUAUAUUGAAGAAGGAUUUUGUUAGUAGAAAAGAAUGAAUACUAAUUGGUUUUAUUUUCCUUGUGCAUUGGCUAGUGAAUGAGGAUUUUAUCAGCUAGGACUGUAACUAUAUUCUAGUAAUUCUUCUAUGUGCUCCGAAUUAUCUACAUGCUCUGAAUUAAUUUGCUAUUAUUUGUAGUUGUUUAACUGUUUUUGUCUUUCGAAUGACUGCGAGCAAGCCGCCGGCGCUUUGAAUUCAACCUCGGUGAUUCAAUGGCUAUCAAAUUUAACACUCAACGGCGCGCAAAGUGGCAGCGCCUGAAGGAGCAGGGGGCACGGCGGAUGCAGGCCGCCAUCACCACCAUAGCAGCUGCGCCCACAGACGAGGCACCAGCCGACCGGCGGGCGGGGGAACAAGGCCGGCAGAUGUGCUCGGUAGUGUGGGUACCGGGUACUGGGUUGGGUGGACAGCAUCAUGGCAGAUGUGCUCGUAGUGUGGCGGCUGCAAGGGCACUCCGCACUCGUCUGCCGCCGGUGGUAUCCGUGGUUAGCAACUCAAAUCUGGUACAACUGUCAGCAAAGGAGCUUCUAGCACAGCAUUUUUUUUCUUUGAUCGGUCUGGCACAGCAUUGGUUGCUGCAGCUGCAGCUGCCUUCUGGUGUUCGAGCUAAGUCACGUUGCCGCUGCAAGUAUCAAAGUGUUCAUGUGCAAGAUGGGAAAACCACGUCGAGUCUGUUAGUCCACAGUUGGAAGAGGAAGAAUGCGAGGAUCAAACUAUGAUUGUUUGGAUUAGUAUAUCUGUGUAAAUAUCUUCAAACAUGUUGUACCAAAAGAAAUAUGUGAAAUUUUAAGCUUACUAGUUACGAAUGCAAUUGUCCCAGAAUAAACAAAAGAAAACCUAGCUGGUUGUUAGCAUGUGGCUGUGGAAAUCAGAAGUAUAUACGUUUGUAGCAUGUGGUCGUUAUUUAAGAGUUCAACUCUCGAUUGCAUCAUCAA